rnacentral:rRNA from 1 species
ACGCUGGCGGCGUGCUUAACACAUGCAAGUUGAACGAUGAAGCCUAGCUUGCUAGGUGGAUUAGUGGCGAACGGGUGAGUAAUACGUGAGUAACCUACCUUUAACUCUGGGAUAAGCCUGGGAAACUGGGUCUAAUACCGGAUACGACCAAUCUCCGCAUGGAGUGUUGGUGGAAAGCGUUAUGUAGUGGUUAUAGAUGGGCUCACGGCCUAUCAGCUUGUUGGUGAGGUUACGGCUCACCAAGGCGACGACGGGUAGCCGGCCUGAGAGGGUGACCGGCCACACUGGGACUGAGACACGGCCCAGACUCCUACGGGAGGCAGCAGUGGGGAAUAUUGCACAAUGGGCGCAAGCCUGAUGCAGCGACGCCGCGUGAGGGAUGACGGCCUUCGGGUUGUAAACCUCUGUUAGCAGGGAAGAAGAGAAAUUGACGGUACCUGCAGAGAAAGCGCCGGCUAACUACGUGCCAGCAGCCACGGUAAUACGUAGGGCGCGAGCGUUGUCCGGAAUUAUUGGGCGUAAAGAGCUUGUAGGCGGUUUGUCGCGUCUGCUGUGAAAGGCCGGGGCUUAACCCCGUGUAUUGCAGUGGGUACGGGCAGACUAGAGUGCAGUAGGGGAGACUGGAACUCCUGGUGUAGCGGUGGAAUGCGCAGAUAUCAGGAAGAACACCGAUGGCGAAGGCAGGUCUCUGGGCUGUAACUGACGCUGAGAAGCGAAAGCAUGGGGAGCGAACAGGAUUAGAUACCCUGGUAGUCCAUGCCGUAAACGUUGGGCACUAGGUGUGGGGGACAUUCCACGUUUUCCGCGCCGUAGCUAACGCAUUAAGUGCCCCGCCUGGGGAGUACGGCCGCAAGGCUAAAACUCAAAGAAAUUGACGGGGGCCCGCACAAGCGGCGGAGCAUGCGGAUUA